rnacentral:rRNA from 1 species
UACGUAGGGCGCAAGCGUUAUCCGGAAUUAUUGGGCGUAAAGAGCUCGUAGGCGGUCAGCACAAGUCAGUUGUGAAAUCUCCGGGCUUAACCCGGAAAGGUCAACUGAUACUGUGCGACUAGAGUGCGGAAGGGGCAACUGGAAUUCUCGGUGUAGCGGUGAAAUGCGUAGAUAUCGAGAGGAACACCUGCGGCGAAGGCGGGUUGCUGGGCCGACACUGACGCUGAUGCGCGAAAGCCAGGGGAGCGAACGGG